AGUUCCUGUUCGGAUGGAACUUUUGGAGAGAGAGUAUUCAGCCUGGAGCGUGGUGUACACCUUCCCGCACCCCACCAUCCAAGAGUUUGUAGCUGCACUCGCACAAUUCCUGACUCCACUUUCCAAG